ACUUUCCCACUAAAAAUUAAAACCUCAAGAAAAGACUCAUCACUCGCUCUCACUAAUGCCACUACCCCCUUUUCUCUCAGACACGAGAGUGGAAUGUAUUCCGACGAUGACUCCGAUGUGGACUACCAUGACGACAUGUUGUCAUCGACGUUGGCUAUUGUUGCGGCUAUGGCAUGCUUCAACGUAUUCGAUGGAGCUCAUGUUAGAUUUGCAGUGGCUUUACCUUGAGCAAUUCGACCUCUUUCACCAAAAAUGAAGCAUGUGUCCGGGAAGUGGCUAGAAUCCAAAUACAUGUGUUAAAAGUACAGGAAAAUACGGGUGAUGCAAUUGAAAAUGGCGGCCAAAAGUUAAUUGAUCUAUUGAAGUGAAUGAUAAAGACUUUUUGAGCAAUUGUAAUAUUUAUUAUUAUGAUACUUUAUGAAUACAUUCGGUUUUAGAGUUUGUUGUUAUUGCACAUACUGAAAUAUUGUUUUAUCAGUAUGUGUAGAAUACAAAAUAUGUUUCUUUUUUGAAGUUUAUUGCAAGUAUAUGCAUUAAAA